rnacentral:rRNA from 1 species
AACGAACGCUGGCGGCAGGCCUAACACAUGCAAGUCGAACGAGACCUUCGGGUCUAGUGGCGCACGGGUGCGUAACGCGUGGGAACCUGCCCUUAGGUUCGGAAUAACUCCCCGACAGGGGUGCUAAUACCGGAUAAUUUAUUCGGACCAAAGAUUUAUCGCCUUUGGGGGGGCCCGCGUUGUAUUAGCUUGUUGGUAGGGUAAAAGCCUACCAAGGCGACGAUCGAUAGCUGGUCUGAGAGGAUGAUCAGCCACACUGGGACUGAGACACGGCCCAGACUCCUACGGGAGGCAGCAGUGGGGAAUAUUGGAAAAUGGGCGAAAGCCUGAUCCAGCAAUGCCGCGUGAGUGAUGAAGGCCUUAGGGUUGUAAAGCUCUUUUACCCGGGAUGAUAAUGACAGUACCGGGAGAAUAAGCUCCGGCUAACUUCGUG